GAGAGGAGGCCCCAACUGCUGAACAGCAGCAUUUCUGUAAUGGGGAUGACGACAUGCCGCCGGAGCGCAGCUGAGGGGGCGAUACUAUUA
rnacentral:sRNA from 1 species